GGCUUUUUUCGCCCAAGCGGAGCUCGACCGCAAACCGAAGUAAUGGUGGCCUUUAUCGAUCAACAUCGUGCUGCAUAUGGUGUCGAGCCAAUCUGCAAGGAAUUGUCGAUUGCACCG
rfam:gamma proteobacterium BDW918 genomic scaffold scaffold00011, whole genome shotgun sequence.